GGAACCCUCCUGCACUGAUGGUGGGAUUAUAAGUUGGUAUAGCCACUAUGGAAAACAGUAUGGAGGUUCCUCAGAAAACAGAAAAUAGAAUUACCAUAUGAUCCAGCAGUCCCACUCCUGGGAGUGUAACCAGACAAAACUAUAAUUCAAAAAGAUACAUGCACCCCUAUGUUCACAGCAGCACUAGUCACAAUAGCCUAAACUAUAAAUUAAAAAAAUACAUGCACCCCUAUGUUCAUAGCAGCACUGUUCACAAUUGCCUAAACAACCUAAUGUCCAUCAACAGAUGAAUGGAUAAAGAAGAUGUGGUACAUAUAUACAAUGGAAUACUACUCAGCCACUAAAAAAGAAUGAAAUAAUGCCAUUUGCAGCUACAUGGAUGCAACUAGAGAUUAUCACACUAAGUGAAGUCCUACAUGAGAAACCAGGCUCAGAGAGGUGAAGUCAUUUGCCCAAGAUCACACAGCAAGUAAGACCUGGCAUUCAAAUCCAGAGCCUGUGCUCUUAACCUCAUGUGAUAGUUAUCAUUUGGGUUUGCAGAUGAUCUUCAACAGGUACCCAGUUGUUCCAACACCACUUGCUGAAAAAACUCUUGCCACUGAAUUGCCUUGAAACUUUGUCAAAAUUCAAUUGACUAUGCAUGUGUGGAUCUAUCUGUGAACUGUUUUUUCUCCUGAUCUAUUUUUCUCUCUUGACACCAAUACCACAUUAUCUUAAUCUUUAUGCUGUAGCUUUAUGUCUUAAAGUUCAGUAGAGGUCUUCCAACUUUAUCCUUAUUUUUCAAAGUUAUUUUGUUUAUUCUAUGUACUUAGCAUUUCUAUAAGAAUUUUGGAAUCUGCUUUUCAAUUUUUGUAAAAAAAAUUCUUACAGGAUUGGAUUUGGGAAUAUAUUGGAUCUAUACACUAAUUUGGAGAAAACUGAUAUCUUAGCACUAUAUCUUCCAAUCUAUGAGCUCAGUAUAUUUCUCCACUUAUUUAGGUAUACCUUAAUUUCUCCCAGCACUGUUUUUUAGUUUUAAGUGUGCAGAUCUUGUACGUUUGGUCAGAUUUUUCCCUAUGUAUUUCAUAUAUUUAAUGAUCUUACAAAUGAUAUUUAUAAUUUUUUUAUUUUCAAUUUUUGGUUCCUAGUAUAUGGAAAUAUGAUUUACUUUUUCACAUUGUCCUGUGACCUUGUCAAAAUUACUUACUAGUUUUAAGAAUAAUUUUGUAGAUUCCGUGGAAUUUUCUACACAUCAUGUCAUCAGUGAAUAGAGAUUGUUUUAUUUCUUCCUUUUCUUUAAAAAAAAUUUUUUUUAUUGUGGUAAAAGUCACAUAAUUUAAAACAUACUAUUUUAACUGUAUUUAACUGUACAAUUCAGUGGCACUAAGUACAUUCACAUUGUUGUGCAACUCUCAUUAUCUUCCAUUGCCCGAAUUUUUCACUUUCCUAAACUGAAAGUCUGUCUCCAUUAAACACUAACUCCCCAUUCCCUCUCCCCACUCCCUCACCCCACCAGUCCCUGGCAUCUACUAAUGUGUUUUCUGACUCUAUGAAUUUGACUAUUCUAGGUAACUUGUAUAAGUGGAAUCAAAUGGUAUUUGUCUGCAACUACUGUAUAUUGGAAUGCAUUUUUAAGAUUAACUUAAUAUAUGUCCUACAAACAGAUUGUACCCUUUCCCCCUACCCGCCCGGUGCUAUACAGUAGGUUCUCAUUAUUUAUCUAUCUUAUACAUGCUAGUGUGUAUAUGUCAAUCCCAGUCUCCCAAUUUAUCCCACUCCCGCUUUUUCCUCUUGGUGUCCAUACGUCUGUUCUCUGUGUCUGUGUUUCUGUUUCUGCUUUGCAAAUAAGUUCACCUGUACUAUUUUUCUAGAUUCCACAUAUAGGCGUUAAUAUACGGUAUUUGUUUUUCUCUUUCUGACUUACUUCACUCUGAAUGACAGUCUCUAGGUCCAUCCACAUCUCUGCAAAUGGCACAAUUUUGUUCCUUUUUAUGGCUGAGUAAUAUUAUUUCUUCCUUUUCAAUGUGUAUAGUUUUUAUUUAUUUUUCCUGCCUUCUUGCACUGGCCAGGACUCUCAAUACGAUAUUGAAUAAGAAUGGUGAAAGCAUUCAGACUUUUUAACAUUAAAUAUCUUUCUAGAUGCCUUUUAGCAGGUUAAGGAUGUUUCCAUUCCUAGUUUGCUGAAAUUUUUUGUUUGUUUGUUUGUUUUACGAUGAAUCGAUGCUAAAUUUU